CCUACGGGUGGCAGCAGUGAGGAAUAUUGGUCAAUGGGCGUAAGCCUGAACCAGCCAAGUCGCGUGAGGGAAGAAGGUUCUACGGAUCGUAAACCUCUUUUAUCAGGGAACAAAGGCGGGGACGUGUCCCGGGUUGAAGGUACCUGAAGAAAAAGGAUCGGCUAACUCCGUGCCAGCAGCCGCGGUAAUACGGAGGAUCCGAGCGUUAUCCGGAUUUUUUGGGUUUAAAGGGUGCGGAGGCGGCCUUUUAAGUCAGCGGGAAAAGUCCGGGGCUCAACCUCGGAGUGCCGUUGAAACUGGGGGGCUUGAGUUUGUGAGAAGAAGGCGGAAUGCGUGGUGUAGCGGUGAAAUGCUUAGAUAUCACGCAGAACCCCGAUUGCGAAGGCAGCCUACCGGCCCCUGACUGACGCUGAGGCACGAAAGCGUGGGGAUCGAACAGGAUUAGAUACCCCUGUAGUC
rnacentral:rRNA from 1 species